CUACGGGUUGCUCCAGUGGGGAAUAUUGCACAAUGGGCGCAAGCCUGUUGCAGCCAUGCCGCGUGUAUGAAGAAGGCCUUCGGGUUGUAAAGUACUUUCAGCGGGGAGGAAGGGAGUAAAGUUAAUACCUUUGCUCAUUGACGUUACCCGCAGAAGAAGCACCGGCUAACUCCGUGCCAGCAGCCGCGGUAAUACGGAGGGUGCAAGCGUUAAUCGGAAUUACUGGGCGUAAAGCGCACGCAGGCGGUUUGUUAAGUCAGAUGUGAAAUCCCCGGGCUCAACCUGGGAACUGCAUCUGAUACUGGCAAGCUUGAGUCUCGUAGAGGGGGGUAGAAUUCCAGGUGUAGCGGUGAAAUGCGUAGAGAUCUGGAGGAAUACCGGUGGCGAAGGCGGCCCCCUGGACGAAGACUGACGCUCAGGUGCGAAAGCGUGGUGAGCAAACAGGAUUAGAUACCCGUGUAGUC
rnacentral:rRNA from 1 species